rnacentral:rRNA from 1 species
UACGUAGGGGGCAAGCGUUGUCCGGAUUUAUUGGGCGUAAAGAGCGUGUAGGCGGCUUUACAGGUCCGUUGUGAAAACUCGAGGCUCAACCUCGAGACGCCGGUGGAAACCGUAAAGCUAGAGUCCGGAAGAGGAGAGUGGAAUUCCUGGUGUAGCGGUGAAAUGCGCAGAUAUCAGGAAGAACACCCGUGGCGAAAGCGGCUCUCUGGAACGGUACUGACGCUGAGACGCGAAGCGUGGGGAGCGAAGCAGG